CCUACGGGAGGCAGCAGUAGGGAAUCUUCCGCAAUGGGCGAAAGCCUGACGGAGCAACGCCGCGUGAGUGAUGAAGGUCUUCGGAUCGUAAAACUCUGUUAUCAGGGAAGAACAAAUGUGUAAGUAACUGUGCACAUCUUGACGGUACCUGAUCAGAAAGCCACGGCUAACUACGUGCCAGCAGCCGCGGUAAUACGUAGGUGGCAAGCGUUAUCCGGAAUUAUUGGGCGUAAAGCGCGCGUAGGCGGUUUUUUAAGUCUGAUGUGAAAGCCCACGGCUCAACCGUGGAGGGUCAUUGGAAACUGGAAAACUUGAGUGCAGAAGAGGAAAGUGGAAUUCCAUGUGUAGCGGUGAAAUGCGCAGAGAUAUGGAGGAACACCAGUGGCGAAGGCGACUUUCUGGUCUGUAACUGACGCUGAUGUGCGAAAGCGUGGGGAUCAAACAGGAUUAGAUACCCUGGUAGUCCACGCCGUAAACGAUGAGUGCUAAGUGUUAGGGGGUUUCCGCCCUUAGUGCUGCAGCUAACGCAUUAAGCACUCCGCCUGGGGAGUACGACCGCAAGGUUGAAACGUCAAAGGAAUUGACGG
rnacentral:rRNA from 1 species